rnacentral:rRNA from 1 species
AUUGAACGCUGGCGGCAGGCCUAACACAUGCAAGUCGAACGGUAACAGGAAGCAGCUUGCUGCUUUGCUGACGAGUGGCGGACGGGUGAGUAAUGUCUGGGAAACUGCCCGAUGGAGGGGGAUAACUACUGGAAACGGUAGCUAAUACCGCAUAACGUCGCAAGACCAAAGAGGGGGACCUUAGGGCCUCUUGCCAUCGGAUGUGCCCAGAUGGGAUUAGCUAGUAGGUGGGGUAACGGCUCACCUAGGCGACGAUCCCUAGCUGGUCUGAGAGGAUGACCAGCCACACUAGAAAGGAGACACGGUCCAAACUACUACGGGAGGCAGCAGUGGGGAAUGUAGCACAAUGGGCGCAAGCCUGAAGCAGCCAUGCAGCGUGUAUGAAGAAAGACUUCGGGUUGUAAAGUACUUUCAGCGGGGAGGAAGGGAGUAAAGUUAAUACCUUUGCUCAUUGACGUUACCCGCAGAAGAAGCAACGGCUAACUCCGU